rnacentral:rRNA from 1 species
UACGUAGGGUGCGAGCGUUGUCCGGAAUUACUGGGCGUAAAGCGCACGUAGGCGGCUUUGCAAGUUAGAGGUGAAAGCCCGGGGCUCAACUCCGGAACUGCCUUUAAGACUGCAUCGCUAGAAUUGUGGAGAGGUGAGUGGAAUUCCGAGUGUAGAGGUGAAAUUCGUAGAUAUUCGGAAGAACACCAGUGGCGAAGGCGACUCACUGGACACAUAUUGACGCUGAGGUGCGAAAGCGUGGGGAGCAAACAGG